rnacentral:rRNA from 1 species
AUACGUAGGGUGCAAGCGUUAAUCGGAAUUACUGGGCGUAAAGGGUGCGCAGGCGGUUUCGUAAGUCAGAUGUGAAAGCCCCGGGCUUAACCUGGGAAUUGCGUUUGAAACUACGGAACUAGAGUGCAGCAGAGGGGAGUGGAAUUCCACGUGUAGCAGUGAAAUGCGUAGAUAUGUGGAGGAACACCGAUGGCGAAGGCAGCUCCCUGGGUUGGCACUGACGCUCAUGCACGAAAGCGUGGGGAGCAAACAGGAUUAGAUACCCUGGUAGUCCACGCUAUAAACUAUGUCAACUAGUUGUCGGAUCUAAUUGAGGAUUUGGUAACGUAGCUAACGCGUGAAGUUGACCGCCUGGGGAGUACGGUCGCAAGAUUAAA